rnacentral:rRNA from 1 species
GAUGAACGCUGGCGGCGUGCCUAAUACAUGCAAGUCGAGCGAACAGACGAGGAGCUUGCUCCGCUGACGUUAGCGGCGGGGGUGAGAGUAACGCGUGUAUAACCUACCUAUAAGACUGGGAUAACUUCGGGAAACCGGAGAAAAUCCCGUAGAAUAUAUUGAACCGCAUUGUUCAAUGGUGAAAGUCGGUGGUGCUGGCACGUAUAGAUGGAUCCGGGCCGUAUGAGAUAGUUGGUAAGUUCACAGCUUACGAAGGCAACGAGGCGUAGCAGACCGGACGGGCUGAUCGGCCGCCCUGGAAGUGAGCCGCGCACCAGGCUCCUACGGUAGGGCGCAGUCGGCAAUCUUCCGCAGUGGGCGAAAGCCUGACGCAGCAACGCCGCGUGAGUGAUGAAGGUCCCCCGAUCGUAAAGCCCUGUUACGAGGGAAGAACCACUGUGUCCUUUAACAAGGCGGUAUUGACGGUACUUAGUAAGAAAGCAACGGCUAACUACGUG